AUCUGACUCCAGCCCUGCGCCGCUACCUGCAGCGCUAGCAGGGCUGUCCGUAGCCGCCGUCCGCGCCGUGCUGCCCUGUUGCAAAGCAGCUGCCACGCUCCCUGCACAGCCUCGGUGCGCUCCCGGGGAUCUGGCUGCGUCGAGGGCCCCUGAGUGCUGAGUACGCGCCCACUCUGCACGAGGGCGUCUGCGAUCUGGCUGCGGUCCUGGCCCAACGCCGUCUGCUCCAGCUGCAGUGCGCGCCCCUCCAGCCAAGCCAUCUCCUCCUCACAGCUGUGCAGCAGCUCUGCCCGCCGCAGAGUCUGCUCCAGUAGGGCCCGCCUGAGGGCAGUAAGGCCACGGAGGGCUUGGCUUAGGGAGUAGGGCUGGGUAAGGGGUACCCCACCGCGGUCAGACCCUGCCCUUAGAUGGGAUUUUUCUUUUCUCUGGGUGACUCAACAGGUGAGACAAAAAGGCCUUGGCUGCGGAGAGUAGAUGCAGAGGAGGCUGCCAGGCCAGCAAUAUUUAGCCUGGGCCGGAGAUAAUUUGGGUUACAGAGAAGUUCAGAGGAGGUUGAAGGGCUGGGGAUGAGGAAUUGCGGGCCAGCCUUUACCGGGCCCUGACAAGAGACACCAGUCUCUGGUGGAGCUGAACCAGCACCCUGGCUUUGGCUUGCAGCAUCUCCACGCUCAUGCCAACGGAGGGGUCCAGCUCUGCCGUCUGGUUCGCCAAGUGGCUCACGUGGGCCUCGUGUGCCGAGACCUGGGCCUCCAGCAGGUUGUGCCUCUGAAGCAGCUCCACUACUUCUUCCAGCUGCCGCCCACAAUUGGUGGAGCUUGCCGGCACCUGACCAGAUAGAAAGCAGUCGUUGCAGUCCCAAGAUGCUGGCCUCCUAUACCCUGCUACGGUUCCCAGAAACUGGCUGGUCUGGUACCCACCUGCAGCUCCCGGAGCCGUUCUGCGGUAACCUCCACCUCCUGCAGCAGGUUCAGCACAGCCUGCACACCUGCUAUCUGCUUUCUCUGCUCCUGUAGAUGCUGAAGGAGCUUCUGCCAGCGCCCAGUGAUCUCCCGCUGCCUGAAGGACAAGAAUAAGGGUCCAGCAGGCAGGAGCAGAAAGCUCCCUCCAGGUUCCUGGCUAUGGUAUGCUUGGCUGCACUGUAGGAGUCAGACUUCUAGACUGGAGGCAGGAUCUGGACUUAAGUGUCCUGGUUUAUAGAGAUCACGGCAUGUGUCCUGCCCGGGUCACAGGCAGAGACACCAGAAGAGGGCUUGGAAGGUUCAGGCCUUCAGCUCUGAUGCCCCUUCCGGAUGCUCAGAUUAAUUUUUGUGUGUGUGUGUGGUAAUGGGAAUUAAACCCAGGCCUUCACCCAAGGCUAUGUUUCCAGUCUUUAAACUUUUUUUGUGUGUGGGACAGGGUCUCACUAAAUUGCCUAGACUGGGCUUGAAUUUGAGGUCCAGAUUUUUCGUAUUUGUCUGCUUUCGUAAUAGUGUGUAAGCCUUAUGAGGAGAGAGAGAUUUUUUUUUGUCUUCUUCACUGCUACAUUUCUGGCCCCUAGAAUGGAGCAUGGGACAGAGUAGAUAAAUAAAUGCCCAUUUUGUGAGUGAGCUAA